CCUCCCGUAGCCGCCUCCCUCCCUCCCUCCCACUCACCGCCGAUCUUCCGUACACCCCCUGCCAUCGCGCGGCUGCCGUCGCUGCCGCUCGCCUCGCCCUCCAUCCCCAGCGUCUCCCCCCCCCCCCCCCCCCCCACACACACACACACCGAAGGCCUCCCCUUGCUCCGCCUCUUCCUCGACCUCUCACGCUCGCUCGCGACCCUCAGCCGUGGCUAGGGUUUCGGGCUGGGCAUCGCCUUCGUCGCCGGCGUGGCUCCAGCGGACCCCGGCGGCUCCUCUCCGUCUCCUCCCUCGCCCCCCACACAUUUGGUGCAGCAGCCGCUGUGGAUCAAGUUCUUGGUGGAGAUGCAACGGAUGCUCAAAGUGAUUCAUCAGGGAGGACCCCCGCCAGUAGAGGGAUGGCUCCUGUCCAAGAAAGGCCAUCCAUGGGUUAUGGCAGGAGACCAGGAGAAGAACAAGCAAUUUUAUCUAAAAAUAGAAGAGCUAGCACCAAAGAGCCCCAGCCCACCUCCAAGAUCAAAUUCUAUAUAAUUCAUGAAUAGUGGUUGUCGACACAUCUUCUAACAAAGUCACCUCUAAUGAUCCUUCUGUCGACAAGCAGCUAGACCCAAGUCUCCAGAAAAAGCAUGGCCGCCGGCACAAAAUGGACGAAGAAGAGGUGAGCUGCCGCGACAUUGAAGCUCUCGCACCGCUGCUCCCGUCGAGCUCGCGCGUGCAACGGAUCUGAUGGCGAACACAGCCCGUCUGUCCGCCGGCACCUCCAAGCAAGGCCUACAACAGCAGAACUGUUUGGGAGAUCAAGCAGAAAAUUGUUGGCUGUCGAUCGUGGCUGCUACAUGGAUCAAAGCCAGAGCCUUAAUAUCAACAUGGAUCUGUAUAACUUCAUUGCACUUCCACGCCUGGUCCAUGGUUUGCCUGUCAAUUUAGAUACUGUUUAGCACUCUGUGAUUUUACUGAAAAUUUAGCAGUCAGUGUUGAACAGGUCGUUACAUCCCCACGCUUGAACAAGUCACAUGACAAGGCGUUCAAUCAAAGCUCUCUCUAUAUGUGGUCUACUAUAAAAUAUAUUACUUUACCAUAGUAGAAUCAAAUAGAUUGGUUAUCCUGUGUUAUCAUUAUGCCCUGCUUUUAGUAUAUUGUAAAUCUUGCUUUGUACCGAAUCUUUAUGCAAAUCGAUUAUCCUGGGCUACCACUAUGCCAUUCUCUUGGAAUGUAAUGAAUCUUGGUGCAAAUCAGUUAUCCUGUCAAAUCUUGAUGCUUUUUUACUUAACCACUAUUAUUAUAAAUAUGCAUUCUGUUGAACCAGCUCCUUCUAUGGGAGACGCUUGACCAUUGCCUUACACAGGCACUACACGUUGCGCUUUCUGAUGUAAAUCACUUCCUGGACAGGCGACACGCAUCCUGAUGCAAAUCAGUUCCUGGACAACCAACUUGAGAUCAAUUAUCCGAGGACUUCAGUUCAAAUUGUCAGUCCUGAGGUGAACCCCGAAAGGCGUCAUGUUGUUGUCUAGGGGCUCUCCAAGAAGAACUAUAAAGGCAGGGACACCUCCAACUUUACUUCAAAUGACUCAAGCAAUCGGCACUAUGGUUCACAAGAAAGUGGCUUGACCAACACCCCAUGAAGCCACAACCAGGAACAGGGCACGUUUGAAGGAGCAAAAAGGCAAGUUUCUCUUCAUGAUUAUUCAUUUGUGCAUACAACCCCACUUGGCGUAUGCGCAUGAGGACUUAAUCGACUUAACUAUAUUUUCCAGUGCAAUGUUUUGUGCAAAUUAAGAUAGCAUCAUGAGAACAAACGUGACACCUACUGCUGAUUAGCAUCCUACAUGGCCGUUUUGGCACUGGAAAACACAAAACAAGCUAUGAUCAUGUAAGGGCUAUCUAAAACUUUGCUCCUCAUUAAACGAUCUUCUGUAAUUGUCGGUCAUUUAAGAGACCAGUCCAAAUGUCAGCUUAAAUAUACACCAAAACAUUAUAACAUGGCUUUAUCAUUCUGGAUGGAAAUCUGGAGUGUUUCCAUCCAAGUUACAUUGUUCUUGAAUGGUAAUACUUUGUCACCCUACUAGAGUUGUUAAUGUAAAUGGUGACAAGGUGAUCAUUGUCACCUCAUUG